rnacentral:rRNA from 1 species
GACGAACGCUGGCGGCGUGCUUAACACAUGCAAGUCGAGCGGAGAUGAGGUGCUUGCACCUUAUCUUAGCGGCGGACGGGUGAGUAAUGCUUAGGAAUCUGCCUAUUAGUGGGGGACAACAUUCCGAAAGGAAUGCUAAUACCGCAUACGUCCUACGGGAGAAAGCAGGGGAUCUUCGGACCUUGCGCUAAUAGAUGAGCCUAAGUCGGAUUAGCUAGUUGGUGGGGUAAAGGCCUACCAAGGCGACGAUCUGUAGCGGGUCUGAGAGGAUGAUCCGCCACACUGGGACUGAGACACGGCCCAGACUCCGACGGGAGGCAGCAGUGGGGAAUAUUGGACAAUGGGGGGAACCCUGAUCCAGCCAUGCCGCGUGUGUGAAGAAGGCCUUAUGGUUGUAAAGCACUUUAAGCGAGGAGGAGGCUACUGAGACUAAUACUCUUGGAUAGUGGACGUUACUCGCAGAAUAAGCACCGGCUAACUCCGUGCCAGCCGCCGCAGUAAGAC